AGCGAUGAGGUUGCACGCGUUUCGGUGGGUUUCGAUAGUUCAGGGCUUUCUUACGUUGACGCUCGUAGUCACCAUAGCCCACGUCGCGUCUGAAGUGGUAAUUUGUAAUUAUGAAAAAUUCGAGCUGUACGACAGUAUGUACCAAAAGAAAAAGGACGACUUUUGUGUAUUCAACGAAGUGUAUAUGUCUGGCAAUAUACGAUAUGGUGAUUUCAUGGCUAGCAGUUUGGAUUUUCAGAAAAUUGCAUUUACCAACUCGAAGUUUCCGAUUGUGCCACCUUCGCUUUACCGAAACUUUGACGACAUACGCGAACUGUAUGUCCGUCGAUGUUCGCUAGAAUCGAUAAGAAUAACCAGGCUGAUUGAAAAAAUGUACGCGGGCAGUAAUCAAAUCACAUCCGUCAUUAUGGACGGAAACGGAUCAAACAACUUGAAAGAAUUGUAUUUGGAAGCAAAUAUGCUUCAAGACCUCGCAAAUAUCACCAAUUUGCCAAACUUAGAAGUGCUCGUUUUGGAGAACAAUCCACGCAUUGGAAAUGUAGACCUAGCGAUUUUUUCUCGAAUGACAAAAUUGUGGAAAUUGGAUCUGGAAAACGUGGGCAUGACGAGAUUUAUAAAUAGCCUCAAACUAAAUCUGCAAGAAUUGAAAAGACUGGACUUGUCGAACAACCAACUUACCUACAUCGAUAUGCAACUGUUUCAAACAGUCUCCAAAUUGGAACAUUUGUGGCUCAAUGGAAACAAGAUCUUCUACAUGGAACUGGAGCCGAUCAGAACGUUCUUGCCGGAUAUCCGCAGCAUUGUGAUCGACGACAACUAUUGGGGCUGUCAACAAUUGUCUAUAGUUAGCAAGUAUUUACUCGAUAACAACAUUAUCAUUAGAAGUAGCGAAUGUAAAACACGAGCUGUCCAUAAAGUAUGCUGCUCGGAUACAACAGACCUGAUCGAUCAUCGCUACAUAAUUGAAAUGAGCAUCAAAAGUGAGAUAAAGUUUCAAAAUCAAAUAAAAAGUCUCAAGCUGGAAAACCAUGUCUUGCGCGACACCGUGGAAGGAAUGCGGCUUCAAAUAAACACUCUGAUACAAAACUACACAGGAAUACUGGAGGGUCUGAAAAAUGUUGCACAUUCUUCGGCAGCAUUACCAUUAAUGCCCAAAUCCGUCGAGGAUUAUUCGUACUAUGAGAGCGGAGAGCCGGGGCAAGGUGCGACAUCGGAACGUAAUGAGGAUCAAUCUGGAUCCGAAGCUGAAGAAGACAAUUUGACCAUUGAAAAGGUGAACAGUGAUGAACGAAGCCUUCCGAAAAAUGAGGUGUGAAGUGGUAGGAAGACUGUGAUCGUGGAUAGCUGCCAUAUCUAACGGAGAGAAAUGUAAUGAGUGAACUUUGUCGACAUGAUAUACUUAUCAAAUGAUCAUACAAUGUGCUAUCAAAAUUCGUGCUAUAAUUAGAUAUCAAAUUAUAAAGAGAGCAGUGUAUAAGGAACCAUACAUACAUCCGUUCCAUGUUAUAAGGUAGCAAAAGAAGAAGCGUCAUUUUAUUUUGAAGAAAUCAAAGAUUGACUCGAGUCAUUAAUGUACACGAAAUACAUAUAAUAAAGGUCCUGCUUCCUUCCAGAAUAUAUAUCCACGGUAAAUGAAUACGAAUAAUUUUCUGUCGAAACUCAAGUCAGCUUGCUGUUAAAUUAUAAUUAUUACUAUUUAUUCAAAUUGUAUUUAUUAUACGAGUAAG